rnacentral:rRNA from 1 species
CUGACCUCAAAUCAGGCGGGACUACCCGCUGAACUU